UACGUAGGGUGCAAGCGUUAAUCGGAAUUACUGGGCGUAAAGCGUGCGCAGGCGGUUUUGUAAGACUGUCGUGAAAUCCCCGGGCUCAACCUGGGAAUGGCGAUGGUGACUGCAAGGCUAGAGUUUGGCAGAGGGGGGUAGAAUUCCACGUGUAGCAGUGAAAUGCGUAGAGAUGUGGAGGAACACCGAUGGCGAAGGCAGCCCCCUGGGUUAACACUGACGCUCAGGCACGAAAGCGUGGGGAGCAAACAGG
rnacentral:rRNA from 1 species